UCCUUGCUUUCGGUGAAGUCCUUGCCGUCCUUGAAGAUGAGAAACUCCAUGGCAUCGAUGUGGAAGAAUAUGAAGCACCCGCAUAAAUGAGUGAUGCAUGACCCAAAGUCCUUCCCGACCACACAGUGCCACGACGAACCCUAAAUAGGUGCUGCAGCAAAACUGGUGCAGAUUAGAAGGACCUGAAAUCUGACUAAGAGAACUUUUUACCUGUAAGUUCUUUGCGAAAAGAAGAAGCAGAGUAUUUAGCAAGUGGUUGAAUCAAUAAUAAUGGUUACCCUUCAAACCGUGCAAAGUUUCGAGAAGAAAACUCAACUCAUGCUCCAAAAAGAAAAGUAAUUCUCCACAGAUGAAGAGGGCAGCAUGCCAACACCAAAAGAUUAAUUCAGAUUAAACAGAGAAUAUUGCUAGGUGGGUCUGUGACCUGCUUGAUAUGAUGAGCAAUGGCCUGAAAAUCGGCGGAUUCAUGGAGGUCCAGAGCUUGGUAGGCUAAGUCCAUUACAUGGCUACGCAUCGCUUCUGCCAUGUCUGCCUCGCGCACUACAGCUCGUCCCUCCAGCAUCUCACCGAAACCUCGUAUCAAUUGAAAAAGAAGAAGAAAAACCUUCAAGGAGAGUAAACUGGUAUUGCCAACAUUUAUACCAGCAGGAUGCUAUAAGGAUGCAACUUUUUCGUCGUUAAUCAAGGUGAAGUUCCUGGACUACGUUCGCACAUGGAACACGACUGCAACUUGAACUACGAUAGGCUCCAAGAUCACCCGAGUAAAAGACAGAAUUCGGAAUGUUUAUGGACAACAAAUGCAGGCAUGGAGAUUUAUAAUGUGGCUGGAAACUUCUUGUUUGUCUGCUUCAUGGCAAGUGGUCCAUGUUUGAUGCAAAACAGUUCUAGCCCUUCCUUUUAUUUCUAUUUUUUUUUUCCUUCUCCUUUUAUGUUUGCUUAUUCCUUUUCUCAAAGUGAGGAAUCUAUAGAAAGAAUCAACUUCCCUGUCCAAUGUUGGGGACAAAGUACCUCUAAGCAGCAUGGAAUCGCUAAGCUCGAUUUUGGGACAUUAUAAAUAAAAGUGCCGAAAGGGGUUCGGAAUUCGCUUA